AGCCAUUCUAUUAUUCAAUGGUAUCUCACCUGACCCUCCCCCUCCCAUGCAUUACAACAUUGGGUUGCUAGCACCAGUCCUACCUUGCGUAUAGGAUCCAAGCAGCACAGCUGGGCUGGAGGAGGGCUGUGCUGUGCCGUGCUGUGCCACUGACUCCAGGUGCAGUCAAGGUCUUGCAGUGCUGGAAAAGAGAAAGGUGCUGCUCUUCGAGCAGAGGUGUUGAUGUGCACACACACUUCCGUUCCCAAAAGCUCAAGCCAUCCACCAGCACCAGGUACCGGUUAUGUGGGAGCCAUCAGCUCCAGCCAGGACCUGAAGGCAGAGACUAGGGCUUGGCAGCUGUGAUUUUUUCCCCAGAUUCAGAAGAUUGAGUACAAAGUGCUGAAUACACUGCUGGCCAUUGGCAUUGGACAGGAGCAAUUCCUCAAGGGCAUACAUGGCAGAGGAGCACAGUGCCCAAGCCCUACCUCAGCUUGUCAUCUCGCUCCUUCUCAAGACAGGAGAAGACAUAGUUAUGUCUGCAGCUCAAGUCAUCUGAUUUAUUCCUGACAACUGCAUUAGGAGGAGAUAAACAGCGCCUAAAAGUGCCAGUGUCUCUCCAUUAACCAGAGGAAGCCUGAGCUCCCUGUUGUAAACAUGAAGCAUCAACAUGACAAAUGGCUGCACCUGGGCAAAGCGUCCCUGCCAGAACCAGGGCUGCCGAGGGAGGGACACCCACACUCGGCUCAUGUAGGCGAGCUUCUAUGGGGGAAAUUCUCCUUUGUCCUGGAGCUCCUGGACAGCUCAAGAUUGUGGAGUUACAGCUGGGAUUCUGCUUCAAGGAGAUCCACUUCCUAGGUGAAGGUUUGCCUGGAAGUUGUCUGAGAACUGGGAUGAGGAUGCUCGCCGAGCUGCCCCUGUGCUGCAACACUUUGCUGGGGUCUAUGCUGUUGGACGGCACCAUGGCUUGCCUUGUGGCCUUACCUUUACGUUUGCCAUCACUGCUGACCUGCCCCGAAUAG
rnacentral:lncRNA from 1 species